UACGUAGGGGGCAAGCGUUGUCCGGAAUUAUUGGGCGUAAAGCGCGCGCAGGCGGCUGUCUAAGUCUGGUGUUUAAGCCCAGGGCUCAACCCUGGUUCGCACUGGAAACUGGAUAGCUUGAGUGCAGGAGAGGAAAGUGGAAUUCCACGUGUAGCGGUGAAAUGCGUAGAGAUGUGGAGGAACACCAGUGGCGAAGGCGACUUUCUGGACUGUAACUGACGCUGAGGCGCGAAAGCGUGGGGAGCAAACA
rnacentral:rRNA from 1 species